rnacentral:lncRNA from 1 species
CUUUUGUACUCAAAUAGAACUCGUCUUUUGGGAUCUCAAAAGUUGAAAUUCCUCUUUCUAAAAUAAGAACAUGAAAAUACUCGUGUAAAAUUUGCGUCUUGAGAGAGAGAGAGAGAGAGAGCGUGGGAGGAUGCUGCCAUUAAAGCUGGUUCGUUCACUGGUUCUUUCUGAUACCAACCCUCUUCUUCCCCAAAAUCAGUUUUUCUUUAAUCACAAUAAUCACCAUGAAAAUGUUGAUGAUUCUAAUUUCAAUAGCAGCACUAACCCCAAAUCAAGAACCAAAAUCCCAGUAAUGAUUUUCAAUCCCACCCAAGAAUUGGUAAAAGACACGUACAGAUUAGCCAAACUUGCCAGAGAAAUUGGCAUGGAUCUUCAUCCAAACCCAUCUCUCUCACACAUCAUCUUCUCAUGGCCAUCGUGUUCAUGGUCAUUGGGAAACGACGCAGCUCCAUUGCCAUUCCCAUCUCUGACCACAGCUUCCAUGUCCCACUUGCGCCUCUUUGUCAAUCUGUCCAGAGGCUUCUUCAAGCUGGUUUUCUUGAAAAAUAAUCACAGCCCACUUGAAAAAAUCGAGUCUUUGAACAAUAACAACUGGGAUUGCACCUCAAGUUGUUUGUUUUCAAGAGUCACUGGUCAGAGAAUACACUCAAUGAAUGGGUUUUCUAAGGCUUUGCUUGGAAUGGGAUGGACGCUUUUCAAGACUAAUACUAAUAGCCAAUCUUUUCAAGAUUCCAUGGAUAGGCCUCUGUACUUGUAUAGAAAGUUGGGUACGAUUAAAAUGUGUAACAUUAUAAAUCUUCCUAAUGGAAAUGGGGAUGUUGGGGAGUGUUGUAGGGUUAGAGAAUUGAGGUUGCCUCCAUUGGAUUUCAGGAACCUGCCUUUGAGGAUUUUGCAGUACAUUCUUCUGAUGACUGAUGAUGCUUUUUAUCUUGCCUAGACUAAUCAGGUCAGCGUUUCAUAAUUGUUGUUUUUCAGUUUCGUUUCUUUUUAUGUUUAUGGGGCUAAUUGUUGUUCCUGGUAGAAGUAUUUUAGCCUACGAAAAUUUAGCCUUUUUAUUAUUUUAUUUUUUUGGCAUUUUUAAGCAUUAGAUGAAGAAAUUUAAAGUAUUGAAAGUACCACUUGAAUUUGGAACAAUUUGGAGAAUUUCUUCUGAGAUUAUUUAGGCCAAUUGUACUUGGAAUGUCAUUACAAGCAUCUUAUGUAAGAUCUACUUUUCUUUAGUGUUAUAACUUGUGAAGAUUCUUUUCCUCCAUGGAAGGGGCUCCUUGAUGCAGUUGAUUUUUAUACAGAAGAGGACAAUGUUGAAAGUUUAAACCAUGUGAAAAGUUGCAUCAGCAGUUCCAAUCCUAUCUAGUUUUGGAUUCCUCACUCACAAACACGCCUCAAGAAAAUCGCAGCGUUAGUUCAUGAAGUCAAAGAAACGUGUUGGUUUUGAUUGAUAGAAGGAUCAAAAGAUUAUAAUAUUAGAUCUUGAAGAUAAAGUUUAGUACAUCUGGAACAAUCUCACCCUACCAAGCGAGGCUGAGUGGAGGAACAUCAGUAACGCAUCCCACUUUUCACAUUUUUAUUCUUUGCUGUGGGAGCUCUAUGAAGAUAAUCGAGCUCCCUGUGUUGGGGAGGCCUAAAAGAGGCUGAACUGAAAGAAGAAAUAUAUAGUUAGUUUAGAAGGCCGCCUUGUGGUUUUCUUCUGAAAUAUCUGAAAGUUAGAUUGAUAAGGCAACAUGAACACAGUAUUGGAUUGGUUGGAAACUGCAAAAGAUAUUAACAGAAUUUCUGCUGAUGGAUCGACCGAGUCAUUAUUUUGUCCACUCUUACUCUAUAUAUACAUAUUAGAAAAUGAGUUAGGUAAGGGAUUUUUCACAUAUACCUGCUUUCCAACUUUUAUUAUAUUUGAUUCGAUUCAAGAACAAUGGCAGAAAGAGUAGUUGCACUUUCUGAUGGGUAUAUAGGACACAGUCUGUUAUCUUUUUUCUUGAUCCAGAUCUCCCAUGACUAAAUAUUUUCUUCCAUGCCAAAUCAAGACCGUAUUAACAAUGUAAGUUAGUCCAACUAGUAAUUUUAAAGUUGUAGUGGUUUUGAAAAGGGCUAGUAAGCUUUCACAUAUAACCAGUAAAAAGAUAUUUGUGACAUGUUUGGUAUGCUUGACUAGACUGGGCUCUAAAAGAUUAAAGAAGAAAAAGAAGUUAAAAUUUUGUUCGUUAUUUUGUACAAUAUUGUCUGUGUAGUAUAUCAAAUCUCUGCACGAUAUACUACUUAAUACUGUUUAUUUUUGUAAACAGAUGCACUCAUUGAAUCAAGAUCCCAGAUCUUGGCAACAUAAAAUCCAACUGGCCCAUGAUCAAUCGGCGCAGAAGAUGAAUUGAUUUUCUUGAGCUGCCUUGAUUUCAAUGUACAAUCUGUUGUACGAGGCCAAAGGGGAAAUUGGCGAAUUACUAAGUUAUGUGGGGUAGAGCAUUAGUAAGCGACAGGGAAUCUUGUAAAGCGAUUAAGGAUUAGACUAAUAGCACAACUGUUUAGCUUGUAUGAUGAUCAAUGUUAUAGUAUAACUGUUUAGCUCGUAUAAAAUAUGAUUAUCGCGGUUGCUGUAAAUUAAACUCCGGGCAUCAAAUAUUGAUCUUCAUGGUUGCUAUAAUGUAUGUACGUACAGUUCUCACUUGCAUUGCAGUACAUGUUUUCAACGAGGUUAUAUCAUUUUCAGACAACCUGGUAUUCCAUGAUCUAUUCUCACAAGUUUGGGAUGGCGGUAUUUCACUUGCAUCGCAGUACAUGUUUUCAACAAGGUUAUAUCAUUUUCA